AAAAAAACGAUGAUAAGGAAAGUAAUUGCCUUAACAUUUUCAGGGAGAGUCGGCAAGUGGAAACGGCUUAAUUGUUUUUGCAGUGAAAGUAACCUUUGAGUGAACGGAUGCAAGUGAUGAGCAUCCGUUGGAAGCGUCCAUUAUCGCACUAAUGUAACUGAAAACAAAGUUAACAGUUUACAUAAUAAGGUAAUAGUUGUGAAACUGUUACAAAGUUUGGGUGGUAACACGUGAAAACGUCCUUUGA
rnacentral:ncRNA from 1 species